rnacentral:rRNA from 1 species
AACGGCGAGUGAAGCGGUAACAGCUCAAAUUUGAAAUCUGGCCUCACGGUCCGAGUUGUAAUUUGUAGAGGAUGCUUCGAGCAUGGUCUGGCCUAAGUUCCUUGGAACAGGACGUCAUAGAGGGUGAGAAUCCCGUAUGCGGCCAGGUGCCUACGCUCAUGUGAAGCUCCUUCGACGAGUCGAGUUGUUUGGGAAUGCAGCUCAAAAUGGGUGGUAAAUUUCAUCUAAAGCUAAAUAUUGGCCAGAGACCGAUAGCGCACAAGUAGAGUGAUCGAAAGAUGAAAAGCACUUUGGAAAGAGAGUUAAACAGUACGUGAAAUUGUUGAAAGGGAAGCGCUUGCAACCAGACUUGCGCGCGGCCGAUCAUCCGGUGUUCUCACCGGUGCACUCGGCCGUGCUCAGGCCAGCAUCGGUUUUGGCGGCUGGAUAAAGGCCCUAGGAAUGUAGCUCCUCUCGGGGAGUGUUAUAGCCUAGGGUGCAAUGCAGCCUGCUGGGACCGAGGACCGCGCUUCGGCUAGGAUGCUGGCGUAAUGGUUGUAAGCGGCCCGUCUUGAAACACGGACCAAGGAGUCUAACAUCUAUGCGAGUGUUUGGGUGUCAAACCCAUACGCGUAAUGAAAGUGAACGGAGGUGAGAACCCUUAAGGGUGCAUCAUCGACCGGUCCUGAAGUUUACGGAAGGAUCUGAGUAAGAGCAUAGCUGUUGGGACCCGAAAGAUGGUGAACUAUGCCUGAAUAGGGUGAAGCCAGAGGAAACUCUGGUGGAGGCUCGCAGCGGUUCUGACGUGCAAUCGAUCGUCAAAUUU